UGGCUCAGUUGGUAGAGCAUGGUGUUUGCAAUGCCAGUGUGGUGUUUGCAACACCAGGCUUGUGGGUUAGAUUCCCAC
rnacentral:tRNA from 1 species